UACGGGGGGAGCAAGCGUUGUUCGGAUUUACUGGGCGUAAAGGGCGCGUAGGCGGCCACCGCAAGUCGGUUGUGAAAUCUCCGGGCUUAACCCGGAAAGGUCAAUCGAUACUGCGGGGCUAGAGUGCAGAAGGGGCAACUGGAAUUCUCGGUGUAGCGGUGAAAUGCGUAGAUAUUCGGCGGAACACCAGUGGCGAAGGCGACUCACUGGCCCGAUACUGACGCUGAGGCGCGAAAGCGUGGGGAGCAAACAGG
rnacentral:rRNA from 1 species